rnacentral:rRNA from 1 species
UCCUACGGGGGGCAGCAGUGGGGGAUAUUGCACAAUGGGGGGAACCCUGAUGCAGCGACGCCGCGUGGGUGAAGAAGCGCCUCGGCGCGUAAAGCCCUGUCAGCAGGGAAGAAAAUGACGGUACCUGAAGAAGAAGCCCCGGCUAACUACGAGCCAGCAGCCGCGGUAAUACGUAGGGGGCAAGCGUUAUCCGGAUUUACUGGGUGUAAAGGGGGCGCAGACGGCGAUGCGAGCCAGGAGUGAAAGCCCGGGGCCCAACCCCGGGACUGCUCUUGGAACUGCGUGGCUGGAGUGCAGGAGGGGCG